rnacentral:rRNA from 1 species
GACGAACGCUGGCGGCGUGCUUAACACAUGCAAGUCGAGCGGAAAGGCCCUUUCGGGGGUACUCGAGCGGCGAACGGGUGAGUAACACGUGAGUAAUCUGCCCUUGGCUUCGGGAUAGCCACCGGAAACGGUGAUUAAUACCGGAUACGACACAUCACUGCAUGGUGCGUGUGUGGAAAGUUUUUUCGGCCAGGGAUGUGCUCGCGGCCUAUCAGCUUGUUGGUGGGGUAAUGGCCUACCAAGGCUUCGACGGGUAGCCGGCCUGAGAGGGUGACCGGCCACACUGGGACUGAGACACGGCCCAGACUCCUACGGGAGGCAGCAGUGGGGAAUAUUGGACAAUGGGCGGAAGCCUGAUCCAGCAACGCCGCGUGAGGGAUGACGGCCUUCGGGUUGUAAACCUCUUUCAGCACAGACGAAGCGCAAGUGACGGUAUGUGCAGAAGAAGGACCGGCCAACUACGUGCCAGCCGCCGCAGUAACAC